rnacentral:misc_RNA from 1 species
GAGAGGAAGAAACGAAUACGUGGAGCAAGAUGAUGAAGUUCCAGCUGAUAAAAUCCCCAAUCAGUUAGCCUUUGAUGAAGAAGAAUCGUAUUUGUUAAGCAGCUGCCUCAGCAACAGUGAUUGUAGUAUUCAUGCUGCCUGUGCCCAACACAUCAGCGGCCACCCCUACUGCCGAUGUAAAGCUGGAUAUCGAGGCAAUGGAAUUUUCUGCUGGGAAAUAAUAGAUUUCGUGCCACCAGAAGAGCAAAUAACAGACUGAAUACAUCAAUUCAAAAUUCCAUUUGCUUGUAUCAAUUUUUUUAUUUAUUUUUUUUUUAAAUAAAAGUUUUUUCUUUCAUGCUUUA